CUGUGAUCACUAUAAAUCUCAGUUUACUAAAUGGAACUAGUAAAUUUAACUAAACACAUAUUUGUCAGGGGUGUAACCGAAAAUUUCAGUAAUAACAAUCAUAUUGUAGUAAUCGUUUCAAUUUUUUUUUUCAGUGAUAUGAUUAUUGCUUUUUAUUACGACAUGUACUAAUUUCCGUCUCGCUUUUGGUAUUAAUAUUUAAUAUCCGAUGUAUGAUCUAAACAAGAUGGAUUAUAAUAUUAUAACUUGUAUCUACUUUUGGACGCAGUAUAGGUAAAUACAUAAUUAUAAUUUGAAAUAGGAUGGCGGCAAAAACAAUUACUAAACGUAGGUUAAAAAUACCAUGGAUAUAAACGUGUUUCUGUUAUCAGCGAUAAUGUCCCGGGCUGUCAGUUACGUGACGCGUUUCUAGCAAGUGUUAGAAAUUAAAAAUUUUUGUUUAAUAAAUACAAAUUUAAUAAUUAUAAUAUUCUAAUCGGUACAUAUUUAAUGAAUGUAAUGAUUAUAAUAGUAUGCGUUUAUGACCUACCUAUAUUAAUUUUUCAUUAUUUUCUGUCAUAGAUCAUAAUGUUUUAAUGGUUCUAUUCUUCCUAGUUGCUGUUCAAAAGUAUCAGUUGACCUUUAUCCAUAUAUAUUUGUAGCGCCUUUCUUUUUGCCAAUGACUUUGAGACUUCCCUACAAUCAUUUUCAUUUAGGAUACAGUGUUAUACAGUUCCUAGAUAUUGUCAAGUGUCAAUUAAUAUAAAUACAUAUAUUUAAAAGUAAUAUAGUGGUGUCAAAAUAGAUAAUAUAAAUAAUUAUUAUUUUAGGCGAAUCGGUUUUGAAUAACAGACACCAAAAGUGAAAAGGACUCUCUGAUGAUAUCUAAGAUGAAAAGAAACAAGAAUUCGAUACAUAAAUGAUCAAACGCUAGUGAGUAUUGUCUAUAAAUUAAAAUUUUAUGUAUCAAAAAAUUAUAGCUAUAACACUAAUGCGACCAAAUUAUAAUUGUCUCACAUGGUUCUAAUAUUUUAGAUGAUCCACGGCACAAAAGUAUGCAAGAUUCUCGUAUUGGUACAAUGGAUUAGAAACCGAAUGGUGGAAAGAAAUUUAGAUUAAAAACUUUUUAUACUAAAAUGUCUGGCUCAUGUGGUAGGAAUGUG
rnacentral:lncRNA from 1 species